rnacentral:tRNA from 1 species
GCUCGUGUGGUCUAGUGGUAUGACAUCUCUCUCACAUAGUGUCUUGACAUUUAGUGGUUACAGAGAAGAUCCUGGGUUCGAUCCCCAGCAUGAGCA